UGGGGAAUUUUGGACAAUGGGCGCAAGCCUGAUCCAGCCAUGCCGCGUGCGGGAAGAAGGCCUUCGGGUUGUAAACCGCUUUUGUCAGGGAAGAAAUCUUCUGAGUUAAUACCUCGGGAGGAUGACGGUACCUGAAGAAUAAGCACCGGCUAACUACGUGCCAGCAGCCGCGGUAAUACGUAGGGUGCAAGCGUUAAUCGGAAUUACUGGGCGUAAAGCGUGCGCAGGCGGUUUUGUAAGGCAGAGGUGAAAUCCCCGGGCUCAACCUGGGAACUGCCUUUGUGACUGCAAGGCUUGAGUGCGGCAGAGGGGGAUGGAAUUCCGCGUGUAGCAGUGAAACGCGUAGAUAUGCGGAGGAACACCGAUGGCGAAGGCAAUCCCCUGGGCCUGCACUGACGCUCAUGCACGAAAGCGUGGGGAGCAAACAGGAUUAGAUACCCUGGUAGUCACGCCCUAAACGAUGUCAACUGGUUGUUGGGAAGGUUCCUUCUCAGUAACGUAGCUAACGCGUGAAGUUGACCGCCUGGGGAGUACGGCCGCAAGGUUGAAACUCAAAUGAAUUGACGGGGUCAUAGCUGUUUCCU
rnacentral:rRNA from 1 species